CGAAAGCCUGACGGAGCAAUACCGCGUGAGGGAUGAAGGAUUUUGGUCUGUAAACCUCUCUUCUCAAGAAAGAAGUUCUGACGGUACUUGAGAAUAAGCAUCGGCUAACUCCGUGCCAGCAGCCGCGGUAAUACGGGGGAUGCAAGCGUUAUCCGGAAUCAUUGGGCGUAAAGCGCCUGUAGGUUGUUUAGUAAGUCUGUUGUUAAAAACCAGGGCUUAACCCUGGGAAAGCAAUGGAAACUACUAGACUUGAGUAUGGCAGGGGAGAGGGAAUUUCUAGUGUAGCGGUGAAAUGCGUAGAUAUUAGAAAGAACACCGGCGGCGAAAGCGCUCUACUGGACCAUUACUGACACUCAGAGGCGAAAGCUAGGGGA
rnacentral:rRNA from 1 species